rnacentral:rRNA from 1 species
UUUUGGACAAUGGACGAAAGUCUGAUCCAGCAAUGCCGCGUGCAGGACGAAGGCCUUCGGGUUGUAAACUGCCUUUGUACGGAACGAAAAAGUCUUUUUUAAUAAAGAGGGCUUAUGACUGUACCGUAAGAAUAAGCACCGGCUAACUACGUGCCAGCAGCCGCGGUAAUACGUAGGGUGCGAGCGUUAAUCGGAAUUACUGGGCGUAAAGCGUCCGCAGGCGGUUCUAUAAGGCAGAUGUGAAAUCCCUGGGCUCAACCUAGGAACUGCAUUUGUGACUGUAGAGCUAGAGUACGGCAGAGGGGGAUGGAAUUCCGCGUGUAGCAGUGAAAUGCGUAGAUAUGCGGAGGAACACCGAUGGCGAAGGCAAUCCCCUGGGCCUGUACUGACGCUCAAGGACGAU